AACAAAGGGAGCGGCUGCAGACAGGUGAGGGUGUCAAAGUCCAAGUAUGACAUUUGACCAGACUCCAUUCUACACUUCGACAGAGCAGGAGGAGGAAAACAGGGCUGGAGAAGAUGAGUGAGGAAGAGGACAAGUCUCCAGUCUCCAGCAGUCUCUCUCUGAAGAGUGACCGCUCUAAAGAAAGACCUAUAAACUUCAGUAAUGAACCUGGACCCUCAGACACAGAACGGAGAGCAGAGUCUCCAGUCCCCAGCUGUCUGUCUCUGAAGAGUGACCAGUCUAAAGGCUUUAUUAUAACCUUCAGUAAUGAACCUG